AUUGAACGCUGGCGGCAGGCCUAACACAUGCAAGUCGAGCGGCUCGGCGGUCGGGUGCGUAUUGCCUAGGAAUCUGCCUGUUCCUGGGGGAUAACGUUCGGAAACGGGCGCUAAUACCGCAUCCUAUCAGCUUAGCCUAGGUCGGAUUAGCUAGUUGGUGGGGUAAAGGCCUACCAAGGCGACGAUCCGUAACUGGUCUGAGAGGAUGAUCAGUCACACUGGAACUGAGACACGGUCCAGACUCCUACGGGAGGCAGCAGUGGGGAAUAUUGGACAAUGGGCGAAAGCCUGAUCCAGCCAUGCCGCGUGUGUGAAGAAGGUCUUCGGAUUGUAAAGCACUUUAAGUUGGGAGGCGUUACCAACAGAAGAAGCACCGGCUAACUUCGUGCCAGCCGCCGCGGUAAUAC
rnacentral:rRNA from 1 species